rnacentral:rRNA from 1 species
ACUUGGAUGAGGAUUCUUCACGGUAACGUAACUGAAUGUGGAGACGUCGGCGCGAGCCCUGGGAGGAGUUAUCUUUUCUUCUUAACAGCUCGUGACCCCGGAAUUGGAUUAUCCGGAGAUGGGGUUUUAUGGCUGGAAGAGGGGAGCACCUUUGCUCGCUCCGGUGCGCUUGUGACGGCCCGUGAAAAUCCACAGGAAGGAAUAGUUUUCAUGCUAGGUCGUACU